rnacentral:rRNA from 1 species
UCCGUAGCCGGCCUAUUAAGUCUCUUGGGAAAUCUGGCGACUUAAUCGUCAGGCGGCCAAGAGAUACUGAUAGGCUUGGGACCGGGAGAGGUGGGAGGUACUCCAGGGGUAGGGGUGAAAUCUCGUAAUCCUUGGGGGACCACCGAUGGCGAAGGCAUCCCACCAGAACGGGUCCGACGGUGAGGGACGAAAGCUGGGGGCACGAACCG